UUAAUACUCCCUCCGUCCCAAAAUUCUUGUCUUAGAUUUAUCUAGACAUGAAUGUAUCUAGUCAUAUAUUAGUAUUUAAAUACAUUCAUUUUUAGACAAACCUAAGACAAGAAUUUUGAGACGGAGGGAGUACUCU
rfam:Hordeum vulgare subsp. vulgare, WGS project CAJW01000000 data, contig: morex_contig_270405